rnacentral:lncRNA from 1 species
UACCAUAUCAUGCUUUCUCGUGCCACUCCAUUCAGCUCCUUUUAUAUUCAUUUGGGCUUCUGAUUUACUGAAUUAAUAAAUAUCGUGUCACGACCGGACGAGGGCUUCUAAGACCACUAAGCAAGUCUAGCUCUUUUUGUUUCAUGUCAAAAAUCCGACAGAGUCUCCUCUGUACUGGUAGCAAUCCAAAACUUUAAACUUGUCAGCAAAUCCAAACUCGACACACCAUAACUAUAAUAAUAGUAAAGUACAAAGUCUAAAAAAAUAUCAACAACACCAAGCCACAUGAUUCAACAUCAGCUUUACACGUCUCAAGCUACUCUAUUACUACGCAAGCCAAAAUAUAAGCCCAAAACCGACUUAAGGAGCAGAACUGUAGGAUUUAAACCAACAACAUGCCAAAGUAGUCUAAGCAAAAUGACAAGCCACGCGAAGCAAGUACGAGGCUUACGGGAUCCAUGGUCAGCUUUGUCAAUCACUAUACCUGAGUCGAAGUGUCAGUUUCAGCUAUAUUGUCUCUGGUGUGGAAAAAAAAGAAGAAGAAACACCGUCAAUCGCACUUACUGAGUGAGUAAUAACGUCAACCAUAGCAAUUAUUUGGAACAAGCAUAUAUCAGAAAUCAUGUAUCUUGUAAGAUCUUCAACAAUAGUUUAUUAACCCAACAUAAUAAUUCAUGUAUGAAAUGAUAAAUCAAGGGAGUGAAAACAUGCUUAUAAUUCUAUAUUUUUCUAUAAUCUCUUUAAAAUGUGAGAUACUUAAUCCAGAGUCGAUAUACUUUCUGACACCGUGGGUCUACCACGACCGUCUGACAACCAUGUCAGCUAGGUUCCCUUCUAGAUGGUAUAAGUGUGAUAUACACCGGUCUAUCAUACAAGGUGCACCAGGUCUAACUAUCCCGACGUUAGAUAACGGCGAUCUGGCCAAGUUGAAUCUCAAAGACAUUUCCUUUAUAGCACAAUAUAUUUUUACACUUCUUCUAUCAAGAAUUAAAUCCAAAAUAAGGAGAAGAAAUCAUAAAUAAACUAACUCCAAAGCAUAUUAAUUGUAAUAGAACUCAUGUAUUAAAGCAUCAUCUAGCAUAUCUCAACAUACCGAAUUAUACUAUUGCUUGUCCAUAUGCAAGUAAAUAAGCUUUUGUCAAAAUAUUUUUGAUACAAGAAACUAGUUUCAAAUAUUCUAUAGUUGAAAAUCAAGAGGCUGUGAGUUCGAGUCACCCAAGAGUAAGGUGGGGAGUUCUUGGAGGGAGGGAGCCGAGGGUCUAUCGAAAACAGCCUCUCUACCCUAGGGUAGGGGUAAGGUCUGCGUACAUAUUACCCUCCCUAGACCCCACUAGUGGGAUUAUACUGGGUUGUUGUUGUUGUUAUUGUAUAGUUGAAAAUUAACUAUGGAAGAGUCAUCACUCAAAGUACUUUUGCCAAACAACUCCAAGUUACUUCCAAUAAUUGCUUCGUCAAAUAUCAACUAUCUAAAAUACAAUACAAGAUUUGAUUAAUUAUUCUUAAACUCAUGAAAUUAUAUAUUUCUAGUGAUAAAAACUUAUAAUUUUUGAUUCCCACUUCAACUAUUGUACCAAAUCACUUCUCUGUACAAAUAGUUUGAGUGGCAACUCUAGCAUUCCUACCUAAACUUUUGUUCUAAAAAUAAUUUUAAUAUUCUUUAAUAGCAGGUUAUAAAAACUGCGGUCCAUACUCGGAAAAGUAUAUAUUCGGCUAGUGUGUGAAUCAAUUUAUUUAUUCCUAGCCAUCUUUAAAAGAACUUGCGGUCUUUAUUCUAUUCUAGAAAAGAACAUAUUUUCUGUUCUUUGCUUCUUAAUAACUUGCUACCUAAUUACUUUGCCCCAAAGUUGAAGUUUCCCCAUUUUUCAUAAUUGACUUUGUAAGUUUCAGCUAUUACUGUUAAUUACUCCUAGAAAAAGAAGAGAUUGAUUGAUGGAUAAAAACAUUUCUCAUACACACCUGAAAGAAGGAGCAAUAACAGAGUAAGGAAUUUGGGCCUUUGCCUGCAGCGUUAACCUUAGAUUUUGCUUCUAGGUUUCUCGUUCUUGCUAUUUUUUCCUUAAUAUUCUCUCUCUUCUUUUUCUUUUUCUUUUUCUUGGAGAGUUGCUGCCAACUUCAUGACCAAACCAGCAAAGCUGGUUUUUUUCUUCUUCUUUUAUAAACCUUCGUAGACUGCCUCUUUCGUUCUCUCUCUCACCG